CAGCAGCCACGGGAAUACGGAGGAUCCAAGCGUUAUCCGGAAUCAUUGGGUUUAAAGGGUCCGUAGGCGGUCUUGUAAGUCAGUGGUGAAAGCCCAUCGCUCAACGGUGGAACGGCCAUUGAUACUGCAGGACUUGAAUUAUUGGGAAGUAACUAGAAUAUGUAGUGUAGCGGUGAAAUGCUUAGAGAUUACAUGGAAUACCAAUUGCGAAGGCAGGUUACUACCAAUUGAUUGACGCUGAUGGACGAAAGCGUGGGUAGCGAACAGGAUUAGAUACCCCUGUAGUCCCUGUCUCUUAUAU
rnacentral:rRNA from 1 species